AGCACAGUUCAGUCUGGGACAGUGAUCAGAGCACUCUGGCAUGUGGCUCUGUGCUGGCGACCAAGUGCCUGGGGGAACCGGGAUCUCAUCCGAGGUUUAGCUGGACAGGAGCCUAUGACUGUCAGCUGGGAGGCUCCACCCAGCAUCGGACCAAGACUUGCAGCCACGCAUGGAGCAGAAUUCCAGAGAUCCUGUGGAAGUGUUGGGAGAAAGACAGAAGGACCUGGAGGGGACAGGAACCUUACAAGAAGAUCAACAGAGACAACCAACCCAGACACACAGAGGCUUACAAAUACUGAGACAUUGACUAAGGAGCAUGCAUGGUCUGGACCUAGGCCCCUGCACAGAUGUGGCCCAUGGGCGGCUUGAUCUUCAUGUGGAGCACCUGGCAAGUGGAAGGUGGGCUGUUUUUACCUGUUUCUGACUCUAUUGCCUGCUUUUCAAUCACUUCUCCCUGGCAGCUCUGCCUUGCCUGGCCUCAGAGGAUGAGGAUAUGCUCAGUCCUGAUGUGACUUAUGCUGGAGAGGGUUGAUAUGGGGGAGGGGACCACCCUUUUCUGGGGGAAAGAGAGAGGGGAAGGGGAAUGAAGGGGGAGGGGGACAACCCUUGGGAUGUAAAACAAAUAAACUUAAAUAAAAAUUUUAAGAAAA